UCACUGGUUCCCGCGUUAGAGUUUGACGGGAUAAAUCCAGUACCGGACAUGACGAAAAGG
rnacentral:sRNA from 12 species